rnacentral:misc_RNA from 1 species
GUCGUAACAAGGUUUCCGUAGGUGAACCUGCGGAAGGAUCAUUACCACACCUCAUAAUGCCUUGAUUUGUUGUGGCAACACACAAGUCUCGGUAUGACCCGCGAACUUUACAUUUUUGGCCACUUUCGUUAUGCAUUCUGCACAUUGCUUAUGUGAUGUGUGAGUGUGAAAGAGGCUCAACUUUUUAUUAUCCACUUGUCACAAAGUGCGAUGAUUGCUUGAUUACGAACUUAUUAACUCAACCCAUUUGUUCUUUGGAUAAAAUGGCAAGAGUGCGAUAAAUAACGUAUAAACACUUUCAGCAACGGAUGUCUUGGCUCCCA